rnacentral:rRNA from 1 species
UACGGGGGGGGCAAGCGUUGUUCGGAAUUACUGGGCGUAAAGGGCUCGUAGGCGGCCAACUAAGUCAGACGUGAAAUCCCUCGGCUUAACCGGGGAACUGCGUCUGAUACUGGAUGGCUUGAGGUUGGGAGAGGGAUGCGGAAUUCCAGGUGUAGCGGUGAAAUGCGUAGAUAUCUGGAGGAACACCGGUGGCGAAGGCGGCAUCCUGGACCAAUUCUGACGCUGAGGAGCGAAAGCGUGGGGAGCAAACGGG